rnacentral:lncRNA from 1 species
ACUUUACAUGUACUGACUCUUAAAAAAAAAAAAAAAAGUUACUGGCAAGUAUGUUCUUAGAGGGUCAUUGUGAGACUCAGAUGAGACAGUGUAAAUAAAAGUACUUUGUAGAUAGGGAUAUACAGGGGUUAGCCCCAAAUAAAUAACUUACUUGAGCUAAUUGGUAUCACUUAGAGACCAGAUCAAGAGACAAUAUAACCUCAGAUUUCUUUCUUAUCACCCUUUUCUUUCAUAGCAGGGAGGCUUUAUAUAACGAAUACCCUCCUCUUUUCCUAAGCAAUGUGAGUAAAUAUUAAUGGUGGCCCUUCCUUAAGAUUUCAAUAGGAAUAGAUUCAGUAACAAAAUAAAAACAUUCACGUGCUAAUGAGUUUCCAGUGUCUCAAGUCCAAUGUCUCGAGGGCUUUCACGUGUGCUAUUUCUCUCCUUGGAUCACCAUUAAUGCACCUUCUUCACCUGUGUAUGCUUACAUACCCCUCUAGAGUCAAUUUAAGUCACUCUCUCUUAAGUCUUCUCUGAAUCCCCAUAUAGAUCUAAAUUCUAUUUUCUGUUUUCUGCUUCUAUUGCACUCAGAACAUUGUAUUUUAACUACAUACCUGACUUUCUCCCAGCUUGAGUGCAAGACUUUAGAAGGCAGAGAACGUAGCUGAAUAUAUUUCUCUAUGCCUAGUAUCUAACACAGUGUCUGGCAUAGAGUAGAGGCUCAAUAAAGGAUUGCUGACUGUAGACUGGGAUCCAUGGUUUAUAGCCUAACAGACAUGAGAAAUGAACUUUGAAAAUAAAGUAAUUCUAUAAAUAAAAGGCAACUCAGGUGGGCAAUACAUUAAACUAAUACAUAAUAGGAGGAACAGAUAAGCAAUUUGUGGGAAACUAUUCAGUAACAAGCAAAGUAGAAGAAAAGAUGUAUUUCGAAUAUGAAGUAUUUUGAAAAUCAAUUAAAAUAAUUUAGACUUAA